rnacentral:tRNA from 1 species
GCCUGGGUGGCUCAGUCGGUUGAGCAUCCGACUUCGGCUCAAGUCAUGAUCUCACGGUUUGUGAGUUCGAGCCCCACAUCAGGCU